UGGGGAAUAUUGGACAAUGGGCGAAAGCCUGAUCCAGCCAUGCCGCGUGUGUGAAGAAGGUCUUCGGAUUGUAAAGCACUUUAAGUUGGGAGGAAGGGCAUUAACCUAAUACGUUAGUGUUUUGACGUUACCGACAGAAUAAGCACCGGCUAACUCUGUGCCAGCAGCCGCGGUAAUACAGAGGGUGCAAGCGUUAAUCGGAAUUACUGGGCGUAAAGCGCGCGUAGGUGGUUUGUUAAGUUGGAUGUGAAAGCCCCGGGCUCAACCUGGGAACUGCAUCCAAAACUGGCAAGCUAGAGUACGGUAGAGGGUGGUGGAAUUUCCUGUGUAGCGGUGAAAUGCGUAGAUAUAGGAAGGGACACCAGUGGCGAAGGCGACCACCUGGACUGAUACUGACACUGAGGUGCGAAAGCGUGGGGAGCAAACA
rnacentral:rRNA from 1 species